AUGGCUUCUUGGCCUUUUAGCUAAGAUCAUGUCUAGUAUCUGUUCUUAUCCAUUUAAUAUUCCCCGGCAGGUAGAGCUAUUUGUACUUCUCAAAUCCAGCAGGCUCUCUCACACCUCUGGGUUUCCAAAACUGCUUUCCUUUGCUAGGUCUGCCUCCUCAGUGCUGUGGCUUGGGAAACAGAC